rnacentral:lncRNA from 1 species
UGUGUGGGGGUUCUGGUCGAGCAAAAGGGGAGCAAGGGGGAUGAACCCUAGUUUAACAAAAUUCACAAGAAUCAAGUGAAAUCUUGAGAAAAUUGAAAGUAUAAACAACGAAUUCUAAGCUCCUACAUCUGUUCUUCGAAUUGGCAUAAAGGAAGAAGGUCCAAGCUCUAAGAAGUCGGAAGGCCCUCAGGAUCGAGGUAAAUCCUCACUUUAGGCGAUCUGGAGAUUGGAGCGAGCACAUGUCCAUAUCUUGUUAUACCGAACGCUUCCGCUAGCUUAUUCGCAUCUUUUGGUCCAUGACUUGUUAUUUUGUCUAACUUAGUUAGUAGUCGUACAUGUGUAAUACUUGUUGACUUGUUUUUAGUAGUUUUUAUAUCAAACGGUUCGUAGAAUGUUAUUUAGUGUAUCAAGUUUAAAACAGGGGGCAUGUCCGUGUUUCGAACGGGUCAUGCCCAAUUUUUGUAAAAUUUUGUUAUGUACAAAGUUGGUAUUUUUGAUGUCUAUUAAAUUACAUUAGUAGGUGAUUUUAUAAAGUCAGAAAAGCGGACCUUACAUUAUUAUUAUUAUUAUUAUUAUUAUUAUUAUUAUUAUUAUUAUUAUUAUUAUUAUUAUUAUUAUUAUUAUUAUUAUUAUUCUUAUUAUUAUUAUUAUUAUUAUUAUUAUUAUUAUUAUUAUUAUUAUUUUGACUUGUUGAUAACACACAACUGAAUAGUCAGUAUAGGGCUGGCUACUUUGAGGGGUGAAUAAUGUAAAUUGUGAAGCCAUCCGCAAUGCUUUGACCAUGCAAUUGUUCACAGCUGUUUUCUGUAAGGGCUAUUAUGCCAUGUUCUGA